rnacentral:rRNA from 1 species
GUCAAGCUUCCAAGAAAAGCCCUACACCCGUUAAGGCAUGAUGGCCUGUACCCGAAACCGACACAGGUGGGGUGGUAGAGAAUACCGAGGGGCGCGAGGUAACUCUCUCUAAGGAACUCGGCAAAAUGGCCCCGUAACUUCGGGAGAAGGGGUGCCACCGCAAGGUGGUCGCAGUGAAGAGGCCCAGGCGACUGUUUACCAAAAACACAGGUCUCCGCUAAGUCGCAAGACGAUGUAUGGGGGCUGACGCCUGCCCAGUGCCGGAAGGUUAAGGAAGCUGGUCAGCGCAAGCGAAGCUGGCGACUGAAGCCCCGGUGAACGGCGGCCGUAACUAUAACGGUCCUAAGGUAGCGAAAUUCCUUGUCGGGUAAGUUCCGACCCGCACGAAAGGCGUAACGAUCUGGGCGCUGUCUCGGAGAGAGGCUCGGCGAAAUAGAAUUGUCUGUGAAGAUGCGGACUACGUGCACCCGGACAGAAAGACCCUAUGAAGCUUUACUGUAGCUUGGUAUCGUGCCCGGGCUCUGAAUGCGCAGGAUAGGUGGGAGGCUUUGAUCCAUUGCUUGUGGGUGAUGGUGAGCCAACGGUGAGAUACCACUCUUUCAGAGCUAGGGUUCUAACGGUCACCCGUUAUCCGGGGACCGGACAAUAUCAGGUGGGCAGUUUGACUGGGGCGGUCGCCUCCUAAAAGGUAACGGAGGCGCGCAAAGGUUCCCUCAGGCUGGUUGGAAAUCAGCCGAUGAGUGUAAAGGCAGAAGGGAGCUUGACUGUGAGACCUACAAGUCGAACAGGGACGAAAGUCGGCCUUAGUGAUCCGACGGUUCUGAGUGGAAGGGCCGUCGCUCAACGGAUAAAAGUUACUCUAGGAUAACAGGCUGAUCUCCCCCAAGAGUUCACAUCGACGGGGAGGUUUGGCACCCCUCUCGGCUCAUCGCAACCUGGGGCUGAAGUCGGUCCCAAGGGUUGGGCUGUUCGCCCAUUAAAGCGGUACGCGAGCUGGGUUCAGAACGUCGUGAGACAGUUCGGUCCAUAUCCGGUGCAUGCGCAGGAAUAUUGAGAGGAUUUCUCCCUAGUACGAGAGGACCGGGAGGAACGCACCUCUGGUGUACCAGUUAUCGUGCCAACGGUAAACGCUGGGUAGCCAUGUGCGGAGUGGAUAACCGCUGAAAGCAUCUAAGUGGGAAGCCCACCUCAAGACGAGUAUUCCCAUGGCGUUAGCCAGUAAGGUCACGGGCAGAACACCCGUUGAUAGGCUCUACGUGGAAGCCGGGUAACCGGUGAAGCGGAGGAGUACUAAUAGACCGAGGGCUUGAC